rnacentral:rRNA from 1 species
CUUGGUCAUUUAGAGGAAGUAAAAGUCGUAACAAGGUUUCCGUAGGUGAACCUGCGGAAGGAUCAUUACAAGUGAGGCUACCGAACGUUGGAAACAGCGGUUAGGAGCUUACACCCACCCGUGUUUACAUACUAUUGUUGCUUUGGCGGGCCGUGGCCUCCACUGCGGGCUCUGCUCGUGUGUGCCCACCAGAGAACCAAACUCUGAAUGUUAGUGAUGUCUGAGUACUAUCUAAUAGUUAAAACUUUCAACAACGGAUCUCUUGGUUCUGGCAUCGAUGAAGAACGCAGCGAAAUGCGAUAAGUAAUGUGAAUUGCAGAAUUCAGUGAAUCAUCGAAUCUUUGAACGCACAUUGCGCCCUGUGGUAUUCCGCAGGGCAUGCCUGUUCGAGCGUCAUUUAACCACUCACGCCUAGCGUGGUAUUGGGGCACGCGGUCUCCGCGGCCCUCAAAAUUAGUGGCGGCGCCGGUGGGCUCUAAGCGUAGUACAUACUCCCGCUAUAGAGUUCCCCCCGGUGGCUCGCCAGAACCCCCAAUUUUUUACAGGUUGACCUCGGAUCAGGUAGGGAUACCCGCUGAACUUAAGCAUAUCAAUAAGCGGAGG